UUACGGCCACAUCACUUUGAAACACUGGUUCCCGUACGAUCACCAAAGUUAAGCAACAUCGAGAUUGUUCAGUACCUUGAUGGGUGACAGCUUGGGAAUAUCAGGUGCUGUAA